rnacentral:rRNA from 1 species
UACGGAAGGGGCAAGCGUUGUUCGGAAUCAUUGGGCGUAAAGGGCGCGCAGGUGGUUUUGUAUGUCUGCCGUGAAAGCAUACAGCUCAACUGUAUUGUGUCGGUAGAAACUGCAGGACUUGAGGCUGGGAGGGGCUGGUGGAAUUCCCUGUGUAGCGGUGAAAUGCGUAGAGAUGGGGGAGAACACUCGUGGCGAAGGCGGCCAGCUAGACCAGUUCUGACACUGAGGCGCGACAGCGUGGGGAGCAAACAGG